ACGAACGCUGGCGGCGUGCUUAACACAUGCAAGUCGAACGGAAAGGCCUGCUUUCCCUUGUGGAUUGCGGGUGCUCGAGUGGCGAACGGGUGAGUAACACGUGAGUGAUCUGCCCCCAACUUGGGUAUAAGCCUGGGAAACUGGGUCUAAUUCCCGAUAGGACUGCAGGGUGGUGCCUGUGGUGGAAAACGAUUUUCUAGUGGUUGGGGAUGAGCUCGCGGCCUAUCAGCUUGUUGGUGGGGUAAUGGCCUACCAAGGCGGCGACGGGUAGCCGGCCUGAGAGGGUGGACGGCCGCAUUGGGACUGAGAUACGGCCCAGACUCCUACGGGAGGCAGCAGUGGGGAAUAUUGCACAAUGGGCGGAAGCCUGAUGCAGCGACGCCGCGUGGGGGAUGACGGCCUUCGGGUUGUAAACUCCUUUCGACCGCGAGGAAGCCACCUGGUUGGAAGGGUGGUGACGGUAGUGGUAGAAGAAGCACCGGCUAACUACGUG
rnacentral:rRNA from 1 species